rnacentral:rRNA from 1 species
GUCGAACGCACCUUUCGGGGUGAGUGGCAGACGGGUGAGUAACGCGUGGGAAUCUACCCUUCUCUACGGGAUAGCUCCGGGAAACUGGAAUUAAUACCGUAUACGUCCUGAGGGAGAAAGAUUUAUCGGGGAAGGAUGAGCCCGCGUUGGAUUAGCUAGUUGGUGGGGUAAAGGCCUACCAAGGCGACGAUCCAUAGCUGGUCUAAGAGGAUGAUCAGCCACAUUGGGACUGAGACACGGCCCAAACUCCUACGGGAGGCAGCAGUGGGGAAUAUUGGACAAUGGGCGCAAGCCUGAUCCAGCCAUGCCGCGUGAGUGAUGAAGGCCCUAGGGUUGUAAAGCUCUUUCAGUGGGGACGAUAAUGACGGUACCCACAGAAGAAGCCCCGGCUAACUUCGUGCCAGCAGCCGCGGUAAUACGAAGGGGGCUAGCGUUGUUCGGAAUUACUGGGCGUAAAGCGCACGUAGGCGGAUAUUUAAGUCAGGG